AUUUUUCUUCCUACCAGGCUAUUGAGCACUAUCGCUCUUCAGCUGGGAUCACUUAUUUCUUUUUCUUUCUAAAAGCAAAUGGUAAAAUUAAAGAUAAGAGCAUUGUUACUGAUUAUUUCUGCUUCCUGUUUCUAUCAGGAAAAGUCUUAUUAAAUUACCACUGGUGCAAAGGCAGCCAUCUGUUUUCCCUGAUUGUAACUUCACCAUGUCCACCUGUAUCCUGUAUAAUCCUGCUGUUGUGGUCCCUUGGGGAGAUAUAAAUUUUGCUGUCUGGUUCACUUUGUCUCUUUCCAAUCGACAGAUAAACAGAAAUGGGAAGAAUUUUAUCACCGAAACACUUCACUGGAAACUCCAGUUUUUUUCCAGCUGAUAUUUCCCUGAGCAUUGAUCAUUGGAAAAGCAUUGACAGCUCUUUAGGUGGGAAGAUCCCUGUACCCACGUCGUGGAUCUGAACAUCUCUGAGUGACCAGCAUUAGACCCCUGCAGGACUGCAAGUUCUGUUUGCCUUAAAAAGGAAAAGGAUGACAACUGAUAUAUUUAUAUAUAGGAGAGUCUGCCCAUCUUAUUUGAAGACUGCAAGAAAUUAUUCAAGCUUCAAGCAACCCUUUGCUUCGUAUUUUCAGGAAGAAAAUCAGCAAAUUGAAAAUCUUCUCGCCUUUCACAGGAAGGAUGUUGCAAAGAAGAAGAAAAAAGACUGAUGAGGAUGAAGACAUGAAGAAAAGAAACUUAUUUUCUUGAGAAAGAAUCUCCUAAUUUUGGAGAUAAACAGUCAUUUUACUUGUAAGUAACUUAUACAAGGUGGGUUUAUGCAGUGUUGUGCUUUGACCUAUGUCAAAAUUGGAUAAAAAGCCAAGA